rnacentral:rRNA from 1 species
GGGUGGGGGGAGGGGGGGGGGGGGGCGGAUUCUUGGGCGUAAAGCGCGCGUAGGCGGUUUUUUAAGUCUGAUGUGAAAGCCCACGGCUCAACCGUGGAGGGUCAUUGGAAACUGGAAAACUUGAGUGCAGAAGAGGAAAGUGGAAUUCCAUGUGUAGCGGUGAAAUGCGCAGAGAUAUGGAGGAACACCAGUGGCGAAGGCGACUUUCUGGUCUGUAACUGACGCUGAUGUGCGAAAGCGUGGGGAUCAAACAGGAUUAGAUACCCUGGUAGUCCACGCCGUAANACGAUGAGUGCUAAGUGUUAGGGGGUUUCCGCCCCUUAGUGCUGCAGCUAACGCAUUAAGCACUCCGCCUGGGGA